rnacentral:misc_RNA from 1 species
GAUGAAGAACGCAGCGAAAUGCGAUAAGUAAUGUGAAUUGCAGAAUUCAGUGAAUCAUCGAAUCUUUGAACGCACCUUGCGCUCCUUGGUAUUCCGAGGAGCAUGCCUGUUUGAGUGUCAUUAAUAUAUCAACCUCUUCAGCUUAUGCUUGUUGAGUGUUGGAUGGUGGGGGUUUGCUGGUGUCUUAUGAAGUCAGCUCCUCUGAAAUGCAUUAGCGGAACAAUUUGUUGACCGUUCAUUGGUUUGAUAAAAAUAUCUACGCUAUUGACGUCAGUCAGUUCAGCUUCUAACAGUCCAUUGACUUGGACAAAUUUUUCAUUAAUGUGACCUCAAAUCAGGUAGGACUACCCGCUGAACUUAAGCAUAUCAAUAAGCGGAGGA